UCCCAGUCCAUCCCAGUCCCUCCCAGUUUGUCCCAGUUCUCUCCCAGUCCAUCCCAUUCCCUCCCAGUCCCUCCCAGUUCCCCGCGGGGGGGUUCUCUGUAAAUAAGCCCCCAAUCACUAAUUUUGCUAACGAAUAAAAGCGACUAUUUUAGUA